AGACCCGUUUUUUGAUUCCCGGGUGGCUUGGGGCCGGGGAGGUUGGGGAGCGGGCGAGGGGAGUGGCCGCGGCCUCCCCUCGCCCCUGGGUAGCUGCCUAGCCCGGGAAGUCAUAGCGGGUCCUUCGACCCAGCCGUACCCUUCUAUCCUCCCUCCCCGCCCCCCCAACUGCCCUCACCGGGGCGGGCGGGGAGCCCCGGACGCCCAGUUCCUGUCCACCCCACCUCCACCCCUGCCCACCUCACCCCACCCCCACCGCGCUUGCUCCCUUCCCAGCCAACCUUCCUCCCCUCCCCCACAUCCGGUUUUGGCGAAACUGGGAGCCCAGAACGGCCCAGCAAGCUGACUUGCUCCUCGAUUCUCGGAACCAGAACUGAUACUAGAUUGAUUUCUUCGGGGAUGUAGUUUCCUUAGUUCAGCGGACCCCCACUGCUUAAAUUAACCAGAGUGCCAGGAGCUGAAUUUACAUACUCUCAUUCCUCUCCAGGGUCCCACUACUUUGGAGGUUUUCUCAAAACUCCACAUACAGAAAGCCACCUACCUUAUUCCGGUAUCCUACACCCCUUCCCUAUCUUAAUUAUACUCCCACCCCCCAGCCCUCAGCAUCGGACUCAAGAGCAACAGGGACACUUCCGUUCUACUUUUGGGAUUGAUGAAACCGUAAUGAAGAACACCCCCUAAACUCCCGUAAUCGGUGCGGAUUCCUAUGGGGAAGGCCCAUAUCACUGACAUCUUCCAGGCCUUGGCUCUGGACCUUGAGAGGCUGUGGAAAUAGUGAUAGCGAUGCUUUUUAGGGUAAAUGUAUGUAGGUAUUGGGGGAAGGGGAGGGAUCAACCGAGAAGGAAUGGAAGUGGUUUAAAGCUCAUUUCAGUUUUUGCUGUUCAUAUACAGUCAAUUUAUUCAUUUACAGGCCGUAAAACUUUAUCUAGUCUAAAAGUGUCUGAAAACUAAACUUGCAUUAAUUCUUGAUACAAACAGUAAAAUAAUGCGCCUUAUGAUAUUGAUUUUAAUUUUACUCUUAAAGCAUUUUUUUUAAGCCAACUACAUUUUUAAAAACUAUUACUUAGGUAGAGCUGAGAGGGGUCCAACUAGCAUUUGUUGUUAAUGACCAGUAUGUGGAGUCUGGUUUAGCAGUCCAGAAUUGACUUUUGGGUUGUAUUCACAAUUAACAGGCCUAAUGAUCAAUGUUGAAUGAUGCACUAUGUUUUUGUUUAAGUGAAAUUUCCUGAAAAUUAAUUUCAGAAUUAAUGGAAAUUGAUGUUGCUAUUGUGAGGCAUCAUAAAAAUACAUAUUUUAAAAGCUGAAGGCAUUUCAAACAGAUAUAGUUCUUGAUGAAGCAGAAAGAACAUGGGCCAGGGAUUUGGAAAACCUGGCUUCUAGCUGGUACUGAUCGACUCUGGGAAAAUGGGCCUCAGUUUUUUUUUCUGUAACAUGAGGAGAUUGAAUGAUUUGAAUUCAGAACUCAGAAAGUUGGAAGGGAUUUUAAAGCCCUCUGAGAAAGAUUUUGGGAAUGUUCUCCAUUGCUGUCACUUUUCCUCCAAAUAUAUCCUGGCUUGGAAGUCAUUGGUCCAAAGGGAAUUUGAUUCCCCAUAGAAAUUGGAGAAUAGGUAAUGCAAAUAGAGAGGAACAGCUGUAUUUCUGCUUGAGUAAUAAACCCACUAACAGAUUCUGGUACGAAUUUUGGGGACAUAAAGAGAAUGAGUAUAUGUACCCUAAGUGUACCAGUUUCUUCACUCUCUCCUGGCAGAAGAUGCAGCACUUUCAGUGGUGCUGGGAUUCUGGGAUGUGUUCCUGUUAAUUCUAAUACAGAUAAAGAAGAUAUGGUAGAGAGAAAGAUGGUGGCAGAAGGAAUGGAUAAAGAGGCAAAAUUGCCUGCUAAAAAGAAAAGAAAGAAGGGUUUGCGACUAAAGGGGAAAAGGCGACGAAAGAAACUGAUCCUUGUGAAAAAGUUUAGUAAGGAUUUGGGAUCUGGGAGGCCUGUUGCAGAUGCUCCUGCUUUGUUAGCUUCCGGUGGCCCUGAGCACGAUGAAGAGCGUCUUUUUGAGAGCAAUAUAGAAAAACAGAUCUAUCUACCUAGUACUAGAGCCAAGACCUCCAUUGUGUGGCACUUCUUUCACGUUGACCCUCAGUACACCUGGCGGGCUAUUUGUAACCUCUGUGAAAAAAGUGUAAGCAGGGGUAAACCAGGCAGCCAUCUUGGGACAUCUACUCUUCAACGACAUCUGCAGGCAAGGCAUUCACCUCACUGGACAAGGGCCAACAAAUUUGGAGUCACUAGUGGGGAGGAGGAUUUCACUUUAGAUGUACCUUUAUCUCCCUCUUCUGCUGGAAGCAAUGGAAGCUUUGAAUAUAUUCCUACUGAUCCAUUAGAUGAUAAUAGAAUGGGUAAGAAACGUGAUAAAUCAGUAUCUGAUGCCCUGAGGGCGGAAAGGGGGAGAUUUCUCAUCAAAAGUAACAUUGUCAAGCAUGCCUUAAUUCCUGGAACAAGAGCCAAGACAUCUGCAGUUUGGAAUUUUUUUUAUACUGAUCCUCAGCACAUCUCAAGAGCUGUGUGUAAUAUAUGUAAAAGAAGUGUGAGCCGGGGUAGGCCAGGUUCUCACUUAGGAACUUCAACACUUCAACGACACCUACAGGCCACACAUCCCAUCCACUGGGCUGUUGCCAAUAAAGACAGUGGUGCAGUUGGAAAUGGAUUAGAUGAGGCUGAGACUGAGAGAAAUCCCUUGAGUGAUACUUUGCAUGGAGAGAAGUCUACAGGCAGCCAAGAUUUAACAACUGAAGACCUUAGUGACUCUGAUUCAGAUGAACCUCCUGUGUUAGAGGUCGAAAAUAGGAGAUCUGAGAGUCCUGUUCCUGUUGCAGAGCAAAGUGCUCUGAUGCAUGUCCAGGAGAGAGAAACAACAUAUCGUGAAAAGUCAGUCUCCAGUCAAAUAAGUCAGGCGAUUAUUCAAAUGAUUGUGGAGGAUAUGCAUCCUUACAACUACUUCUCAACCCCAGCCUUUCAGAGAUUCAUGCAGAUUGUGGCCCCUGACUAUAGGUUACCAUCUGAGACUUACUUCUUCACUAAGGCUGUACCUCAAUUAUAUGAUUCUGUCAGAGAAAAAAUUUUCUUAACUCUGGAGAAUGUUCAAAGCCAAAAGAUCCACCUCACUGUGGACAUAUGGACCCAUGACCCGUCCACUGACUAUUUUAUUGUGACUGUACACUGGGUCUCCUUGGACACUGCACCUUCUUCCAAUAAUGGCUGGAUCCCCAGUUUUAGAAAAUGGGCAGUGCUUUGUGUAACAGGUUUGGCCAAAGACUGUUUGGUAACCAACAUUUUACAAGAAUUAAAUGACCAGAUUGGUCUCUGGCUUUCUCCUAAUUUCCUCAUUCCUAGCUUCAUUGUUUCUGACAAUUCCUCUAAUGUGGUACAUGCAAUCAAAGAUGGUGGUUUUACCCAUGUACCGUGCUUCCUGCGUUGUUUAAAUAUAGUCAUUCAGGAUUUUUUCUGUGAGCACAAAAGUAUUGAAAAUAUGUUAGUGGCUGCUAGGAAAACCUGUCAUCAUUUUAGUCAUUCAGUCAAGGCCCGUCAGAUACUGCAAGAGUUCCAAAAUGAUCGCCAACUUCCAUGGAAGAAUUUGAAGCAGGAUGAAACUGGCCAUUGGAUUUCUACUUUUUAUAUGUUGAAAUGGCUAUUGGAGCAUUGCUACUCAGUUCACCAUAGUCUUGGUAGAGCCAGUGGUGUUGUACUCACCUCUCUUCAGUGGACUCUAAUGACUUAUGUUUGUGAUAUUCUUAAACCAUUUGAAGAGGCCACACAGAAAGUGAGUGUGAAGACCGCAGGACUGAAUCAGGUGCUACCCCUAAUCCAUCAUCUGCUCCUUUCCCUGCAGAAACUCAGAGAAGAUUUUCAAGUCAGAGGUAUUACACAGGCCCUCAAUCUGGUGGACAGUUUAUCUCUGAAACUUGAAACUGACACCCUACUAAGUGCCAUGCUCAAAUCUAAGCCCUGUAUCUUGGCUGCUUUGUUAGAUCCUUGCUUUAAAAAUAGUUUGGAAGAUUUUUUCCCUCAAGGUGCUAAUUUAGAAACUUAUAAGCAGAUUCUUGCAGAAGAAGUUUGUAACUAUAUGGAAUCUUCACCAGAGGUCUGCCAUAUUCCAACCUCAGAAGCUUCUGGUCCCUCAGCUAUAGUAGAAACUAAUUCAUUUAUUUCAUCUACAAGGGAAGGCACCUCCAGUUCAGGGUCCCUUGAUAGCUCAGCUGCAGAUAAUGUUGGUGUUGGAGGCAAAAGUUUCAUGUUUCCUUCUGCUGUAGCGGUAGUGGAUGAAUACUUCAAAGAGAAGUAUUCGGAGAUCUCAGGAGGUGAUGACCCUUUGAUUUACUGGCAGAGGAAGGUGAACAUAUGGCCAGCUUUGACCCAAGUCGCCAUUCAGUAUCUAAGCUGCCCUAUGUGUAGUUGGCAAUCUGAAUGUAUCUUUACUGCAAAUAGCCACUUUCAUCCAAAACAGAUCAUGAGUCUGGACUUUGACAAUAUAGAACAGCUGAUGUUUCUGAAAAUGAACUUGAAAAAUGUUAAAUAUGAUUAUUCUACAUUGGUUCUGAGCUGGGAUCCUGAGAAUGAAGUUGUUCAAAGCAAUUAAAAAGAAAUAUUAUCUUAAUUUCUUUUUUCCUUUCUCCAUUUAAAAUGGGCAACUUCUUGCUCUGUUACUGUAUUCUAAUUGCUAUAGUUGUUACAUACAGUUAACUAAAUAUUCUUUAUACAUGAGUCUGGGGAAAUAUGAAAAUACAAAAAAGGCUGAAACUUCUUCAGAGGUAAUGUUGAUAAAGUGAAGAUUAGCUUUAAUGAUUUCACAGUACUAACUCAAUGUAGCUGUCACUUGAAAUUUUGUUUAUACCAGUUGAGAAAAAAAUUUUUUAAUUAAAAAAAUAUAGUGCAGCAUUGAAAGUCCUUGGGCUAUUUCUGACUGGUAAACUGAAUUAGUAAUUGGUUUUAAGUAAAAAUUUCUCCCAACAUGGAAAGUUUGAUUGCUCUGAAACCAAUGAUAUUGAGGGAAAAAAUAUAUUAAGCUGAUUCCUACCCCCACCCCCAUUUUUCUAUUUCUUUAAAAAUCCUAUUUGUCCUUACAGCUUGGAAAAACAAAACUCACAAAAUUGUUAUACAUUUGGAAAUUUCUAAUUGCCUCCUCAUACUGGUCAGCUUAAUAAUUUCAGUUUAUUGAGUUACCCUUUAUAGGAUUAGAUCUAUAUAAAUAAAAGAGAAACAUUAGAAAACAAUUAGGAAAAUUACUUUUAAUCUUUGAGUUACCUUUUUCUUUAUAAAACUGUAAAAACAAAGAUUGUAUAUAGGUACUUUUGCCUAAUUAUGGGGUAAAUGACAUAGUAAAAAGUUUACAAAAUUGAAGAAGAUUGAAUGGGUAUUAAAAUAAAAGUCCCAUCCAUAAGCAUACCUUAAUAGACCUAGUAUCCAUUUUCCAAAGAAUGUUUUUCUGAUAUUAAUUGAUCUUAAAUGCUUUUAAAAAUAUGCUGAAUUAUCCAUAAAACAGUAUUCUUAACUAUUAAAUUAAUUAUGUUUUGACCUCUAUUCUUAACUAAAAAUAAGCAAUCAAUAUUUUCAUGUGUUAGGAAUCAUUUCCUCACUGGUAAAAUGAGAGAAUUGAUCUCAGUAAUUUUUAAGAUCCCUUUCCACUCUGAAAGUAUGUUUCUGUGAUUGAGUGGGAGGCCAGAAAUGAUGACUUUUAAUAAGUCUAUUAAAAGUUUCAGACUGAAUAACUAAUGUAAGAUCCCAAUUUUUCCUUUUUUUCAUUUUAGAUUUGGGGAUAUUCCCUGCCCAAAAAUUUCCUGGAAAAUUGACUAGUAUUAAGUGUGAGUAAAAGGUGUCCACUUUUUUUAAGUUUUGAUUUUAGUUUUGUCUUGGAUAGUAUUUGGCAAGAUUUAGCCUAGAAAUAAUGUAGUAUCUAUAACAUGAGCAUCAAAAUCGCUUUGUUACUGGGCUGGUUUCAAAAUUUAGAAUUCAUUUCUAUGUAUCAAAUCGGUUUUUUUUUUUUUUUAAUGGUAAAUGUACCAUUGUGGAAUGAAAUUUCAACUUCAAAAGUUUACCCUUUUACUAACUGGAGUAUAUGGAUAAUUAAUUACAACAUCUUUAGUUGUAGCCAUCACUAGUAAAGAAUUGGAAACUAGGCUGCAUCAGCAAGCCUUUGCAGGGCCAAUAUUGAAUUUCAUGCCAGUCGACACUGGUGUUACUAUAACAGAAAAAAAAAACUUCCCUUAAUAGAAGCUUUCUGUAUUUUGACAGUGCCAGUUCAGUAUGGCUAUAAUGCUGCUCUGCCUUCUACAGCUUGCUGCACCACUCUGUAGUUACUCUGUAACUAUACGUUUCUAUCUUUUUUGGUUAAACACUCCCUGAAGAUGGAAAAGAUGUUGAUGGUAUACAUACAUCCAUAUUUAUACACAAUGAUAUAUGUGUAAGGAUUUCCCUUCAUCUUUAUUUUGUGGGCUGGGCAAAAUUUUGUGUAACAUAUUAAUAUACUUUGUAAUACUUUGGUAAAAGAGUAAGUUCACUACUUUUAUAAUGAAUCCAAAUCUAAAGGCUUUUGUAGGGUAUUUUAAAAGGGAAAACUUAACCAAAUGUUUUAUUUCUACACAUUUGUAUGUGUGUGUGUGUAUGUGUGUGUGUGUGUGUGUAAGCCAGUUAGUAUAUAUGUAUGUCAUGUACAUAAAACACUUUAUAUUUUUACAUACAAGUAUGCUUUUAUUUAUACAGAUAAUAAAGAUGGGGGAAGAUUUCUGUUUUUUUCUUAAUAGGUGAAGAAAUCUUGAAGACCAGAAAUUGGAUCUUAUUGAAUUUUGGUGUUUUUUAAAAAAUUUUUUCUUUUUUUUUUUUUUUUAAUUUUUAAAUUAUAUUGUUCGGCUAUGGAAGAUGGAUUUUUAAAAAAAUAAUCUUUUGACUCUAAAGUUCAUAUUUAAAUGAACUUUUUUGUUUGUUUGUUUUUUGUGUGUUUUUGUUUUUUGUUUUUGAGGAGAUAACUAGCCCUAGCUGUCUCCAGUCUGUGACAAAGGUUAUUCAAAUGGACUUAAUCUUCCAGUAGUUGGGAGAUGUUUUAAAAACACAUCCUGUGUUUGAAUUGUGGCUGAGAGGUUUCCUUGGCAAUGUGAGGAGGAAAAUUCUUUCUGCCUCAUUAUUAUUAAUUCAUGGAUUGAGUGUUGGUUCGACCUACAGGCGUGAUAGAUUGGAACUCAGUGAAGACACAGAUGUUCCCGUUGAGAACAACCAGCUAAUGAUUACAUUUUAAAGGCGAUUUCUCUGAUUGAGUUGUCUUUUGGAAGAUAAAUCCAUUUCAAGAGGACUUGAAGCUGGUCCUCACCUUGAGGAAGCGGUGGCUUGUUUGCAAGAAGUCACUUCUGAUCUCAGGAUCUACCCAGG